rnacentral:rRNA from 1 species
AACGAACGCUGGCGGCAGGCUUAACACAUGCAAGUCGAACGCCCCGCAAGGGGAGUGGCAGACGGGUGAGUAACGCGUGGGAAUCUACCCAGUUCUACGGAAUAACCCCGGGAAACUUGGACUAAUACCGUAUACGCCCUACGGGGGACAGAUUUAUCGGAAUUGGAUGAGCCCGCGUUGGAUUAGCUAGUUGGUGAGGUAAUGGCUCACCAAGGCGACGAUCCAUAGCUGGUCUGAGAGGAUGAUCAGCCACACUGGGACUGAGACACGGCCCAGACUCCUACGGGAGGCAGCAGUGGGGAAUAUUGGACAAUGGGCGAAAGCCUGAUCCAGCCAUGCCGCGUGAGUGAUGAAGGCCUUAGGGUUGUAAAGCUCUUUCAGUGGGGAAGAUAAUGACGGUACCCACAGAAGAAGCCCCGGCUAACUUCGUGCCAGCCGCCGCAGUAACAC